rnacentral:lncRNA from 1 species
UGUCCAGUCAUCUUUCAUUGUUACAUGACUUUGUGAUAAGCUUUAAUCACAUUACAAGGUGGUCUGCUGUUAGGUUACUGGUCCUGUUGAGUGGGCUGGCCAUGUGUCAUGUGCAUCCGAGUAAGAAGUUAUGAAGGAAUAACAAAAUCCUAUGUUAUUAACCCUAUGUCUAGACAAAGCUGGAGGUAAGAACAACAGCAGGAGGGACACAGACCAGCCUUGCAAUCAGAGUGUUUACAGAGAGACAGAGGACAGAAGGUUACAGCAGAAUGUGGCGUAACUGCAUCAGUAGUCAAGGGAAGAGCCAACGAUGUCAUCUAUCUGGACUUCAGUAAGACCUUUGACACAGUCCCCCAUAACAUCCUUCUCUCCAAAUUGGAAGGAUAUGGAUUUGACAAGUGGACUGUUCAGUGGAUGAAAAACUGGUUACGAGAUUGUACCCAGAGAGUUGUGUUCAGUGGCUCAAUGUCGGGAUGGAGACCAGUGGCAAGUGGUGUCCCUCAGGAGUCAGUACUGGGACUAGUGCUCUUUAACAUCUUCAUAAUGUCAUCAACAGUGGGAUCAAGUGUACUCUCAGCAAGGCUAUAGAUGAUACCAAGCUGUGUGAUGCAGUUGACACAUUCAAGGAACAGGAUGCCACCUGGAGAGACCUAUGUAGGCCCAAGCAGUGGGCCCAGGUGAACCUCAUGAGGUUCAAUAAAUUCAAAUGCAAGAUCUUGCACCUGCAUUGUGGCAAAUCCUGCUAUGGGAACAAGCUGGGGGAUAUAAGGAUGGUGCACAACCCUGCCAAAAAGGACUUGAGGUGGAUGGCAAGCUGGACAUAAGCCAGCAAUGUACCCUUGCAGCCCAGAAAGCUAACCAUAUCCUGAGCUGCAUGUACAGUCAACAAAUGUACAGUUGGAAGAGUAGCACAGUUAAGAUGGUACUUCACAGGUGUAUAGUUGGAAAGAUUAUCAUGGUGGAAAAGAGACAAUCAAAGAAGAAAUGCUCACCUGUAUCCAAGGAUCUAGGCUCACAGUGGAAAACUCCAAAAAGGAAAGAACUCCAGAAAGAGAUCCUUCCCCAGUGGCAGUCAGCCUUUAAAUGGGGUCUAGGAGAGGUGGAGCCCAGCUCCACCCCUUCCGGUCACACAGGUGAAUUGCCUUCACCUGUGCUCCCACAGCUGACUCAGUUCUUUCCUCAGGUGCUCAAUCAGUGGUUCAGGCCAUGACUCAACAGUUCCCAUACACUCCACCCCUUCAUAGCAUGAACCAAUAAUCGAGCAAGCUAGAGGGUGAGCCUUCCCUAAUAGAGAGAUCCAGAGACACCACGAUGCUUAUACAAUUGCCUGUCGCCAUGCAGGUUGACACAAUUUAAGAUGAUUGAUGAUCGGUGUGUGGUUGAGGUUCAUGUUCUUUCAUGGGCCAGUGCUUGGUGGUGUUACUGGAGGUAUGCAGUCAUGUGGUGUAGGUCCAUCCUAUGUUCCAUCAGUCCCACAUAGGCCAUCACCGGGUGUCGUGCUUGAUCCCACAGCAGCACUGGAACACUUCAAUGGUAUUUCGCUCCUUCUGUGAUCCUAGAGACUCAAAGACUCACAGAGAGUAAUACAGAUGUUUCAGGGGUACCAGGAGGGGAAGGUCUGCCCUCCAGGGCAAGAUACAGGCCAUAUUCCUAUCCUGGGUCAACACUUCAGCUUGUACUGGGGCAUGCCCCAGCCGCCUCUACCAAACUCUUCGGCCAGAUGUCUGCAGCUGCAUAACUGUAUCAAAGGGGGUGUCCUGAUCUGACAUAGGGACAUGAUGGGGGGGUCCCUUUAGCAACGAAGAUUGGAGUGUUGACCACAAUAUCCAUAGGCCAUGUACCCAUUACCGGAGGGACUACCGAGCUUCCCACCUCCAGUAAUCUCCUCCAAGGUAGGAGGAGAUUGUGCAAGAAGGGCACACCACUUCGGUCCUACCUGUACCUACCAAGGCCAUUUUACUCUAUGGGUACCUGGUUCUAAAUUCUCAGGGGUAGGGACCAGAAGGUUAUUUUCAUUGCCAAUCUGGGGUUUUACCCAAUUAUCAGUGCCUGUAAUUUGGAUCCUAAGCGGGGAGGCCCAUGUUGUCUGUAGCAUUUUCAGGGCACUGGGUCUGCCAUCUUUAGGUCUUUCGUUCAGGUCCCACAGGGUUUCAUAGAGUCCCUUUGUCCACCCGUGCAGGGACUGUGAAUCUCUCUUCAGGGCAGCCUUAUGAAUACCGUUACGAUGUUCAAUGAGUCCUGCCCCCGUUGGAUUAUAUGGCAGGUGGAAUCACCAUCCAGUGUUGUUUUCUUCUGCCCAGUGUUGUAUCACGGUACCAGUAAAAUGAGUUCCUUGGUCACUCUCGAUGACUUGAGGUGUCCUGGAGGCAGACAGGAGCUCAGUAAGUGCUUGAUGGUAUAUGCCUGGUUUGCUCUUGGCACUGGAUAGGUCUGCAGUAGCCCACUUGCGGUAUCGAUGCAGGUCAGGGCAUAUCUCACCCCCUCAUACUGAGGGAGGGGCCCAAUAUAAUUGACCUGUCAUCGCUGGAGAGGAUUGUGUCCUCUAGCAAGAUGGGCUGUUGUUGCGGGCAGCAAUCUCAGUCUCAUCUUGGAGCAAGCGUCACAGUCUCAGCAUGCCUGGGUGAUGUCAGAUAGUUGCAUGGGCAGCUCCCAUGCGUUAGCAGCUGCCCAUAUUGUCUUUUGUCCAGCAUGCCAUAGCUUCUGAUGUAAUCAAUGGGUGAUGUUCUCAGAUGGUGAAUCCUCAGUCCAUCAAACUUGGGUUGGUGUGUCCGCUUCGUCAUUUCCUGGUGAUUGUAAAGGUUGAUGACCAGAAACAUGUUAGACACAUACAGUCCUGUGUUUAACUGCAUUCCACAUGUCUAACCACAUAUCUCUGCCCAAGAUUGGUCGAGCAUGGAUAGUCCAUUCUUGGGUGGCCCACUGUGCAAUCCAAAGAGUGAGCCCCCAGUACACAGCCCAACUAUCUGUGCAGAUAUUCAGGACACCAUCACCGGGUUCCUUAGUUAUAACCAUCCACAUGGCUUGCAGUUCUGCCCAUUGGCUGCUCUGACCAUCCGCCUCUUCAAACCAGACUGUCUCAGUGGAGGGAUGGUAUGCUACUGCUCUCCACUAACUCAGGUUGCUCUUGCUGGACCCAUCUGUGUGCCAGGCAUCUUCAGGAAUGGGAUAUUUCCCCUCCUGAAUGGGACUCUUCUAUGGUGGAGCAACCAAUGUGUCUUUUGGUGCCUCACUGUGAUAUAUCACUGGGCCUACAAUCUUCUUGAGUUCUUUCAGUGGUGAUGAAGAUAGACUAUUCCUCUGGCUAAGAUAGGCGACCCAUCACACCACCGUUUAUGCUUGGCCACCCUCGUCUUAGGAAUGUGAGUCAGAUCUUUCAUCCACCCCUGAAUUGGCAGGGUGUUCUUAACUAUGGAUUUGUCAAUAAUCCUCACCCCAAGUUUUGGGGGAUGAUUUUGAAAUUUUUGAUCGUCCUUCAACUGCCUCCAUAGCUGGAGGAGGACAUGAUUGGGCUGGUGAUCAAUUUUCGCAAAUUGAACCCCAGCCCGGAUUAAGCCAUUAAACAUUUGUUAUCAGGAUACCCGUAUGGGUCCUGAUUGAGGAGUUCGUAGGGUGGGUCUCCUGGUUUUAGUUACUAGAAGGACCUCUGCCCCUUCCAAUGUUCAGAUACUGCACCUGGUCCAAAGGCGCUCUGUCUCCCCUAGAUCGGCUACCAGCUGGGCAGCCUGUUGAACCACGGACUCUGAGGCUACUAGGGAGUUUAGUAUGGAAACUAGAGUUCCAUACAGAUGGGAAGGAGCCUGUUGCAGGAUCAGGUCUCUCAUGCCUAUUGAGAAUUUUACCAGGUGUGGGCUUUGAAAUGCGUCUUUGUAUAUCACCUCUCUUAUACUCAGUUCGUGAAUAUAGUUUUGAAGGUCUUCUGUGAAGGACCAUAAACCUGUGUGUAAUAGUAUGUCAGAUUUAUUGGCCAAACCAUAUGGCAUGCUGCCAUCAACCAAUCUAUUAUCGAGUGAUUCUUGUUGGUAUACUGGACAGCAGCAUAUAGCCCCUAAGGGCAGGGUGAACAGUAAUAGAUGCCAAUUUACAGAUUUCUGACCCACUGACCGUAACACUUUCCAUCCAUGAAUCCCAUCAUCGGAGAAGCCAGGCUGGUACGCUUUCUCUGGGCUUCUGUCUGAAUCACUGUACCAAGUCCAUUAAUUCCAUGGCCAUAUAAGGACAGGCUAUUACAUGUAAAUGUAUUUGGGCAGGGGGCCACUGAUCAGGGGGCACCCCUGGUGAUCUAUCUUGUAUUUUGUUGUUGUUGUUGUUUUUUGAGUUACUAUAGGACAGAUCUCAAAGGAAUCCAUCGCAGAUAGAGCUUUGAGAUCUGAUUUGGAAGCUUUGUCUUCUGGAUCCACUAGGUUGAUCAAUUCAGGAACCUGCGUAUCAUCUACUGAAAUGUUAUGGACCUGUUUUAUUGGGAAAUUUAGACUUGAUUUUUUCCCCUGUCAGUAUACCAAGUUGUUGUUCAAGUUUCUCAAUCCGAUCUCAUAACAGUAGAUUUUCACUUUCUAAAGUAUUGGUUGUCAUUUCAGCCUGAUUUAAAGCAAUUAAUAGUGGCCAUGCCACAGUAGAAGCAGCUAGCUGAUGUUCUUUUGUAACUAAUAUCCCUUCGCUCAAUCCAUGAGAAUGAUCUGCCAUGUGGGUUGGGGAAGGAGUAUUUCCUGUAACCUGCAGGGAACUCCAUUCUUCAAUUAUAGUCACCAGUUCAUAGUAAGGUGAUCCCAGAAAUCCUUGGAUCUGUCUGGGAAUUGUUUUGUCUAGGAGGAAGUAAUGUUCUUCCCCGCUGAACAAUUUAAAGAUAUUCUAAAGGAAAUACUUUUUUGUUUUUUUGGCCUUCCUGGCUCACCAACUGUGUAUUUGGAAGAGUAGUACAGUGAGGAUGGUACUUUACAGGUGUUACAGUUGGAAGAAGUAUCAUGGUGGAAAAGAGACAAUCAAAGAAGAAACGCUCACCUGUAUCCAAGGAUCUAGGCUCACAAUAAAAAACUCCAAAUGGAGCAAUCUCCAGAAAGAGAUCCUUCCCC